AGUUGCCUUAGUUUGUUAUUAGUUUGGUUUAGUUUGUUAGAUUAUACUAAUAUGAUAAUUAGUAUAAACAGGAGGUACUUGUAAUACUUCUUUACUUUUUCAUCAAAUAGUAAAAUGUAGUUCCUUAUUCUCUCCCUCCUCUAUCUUCCUCUCUACUGUCUUCUUCAACCUUAAGCACAUUAAUGGCUUCCUCUUCUCCUCCUCCUCCUGAUUAUCUUCCUCCAUAACACAAAUUAUAACAUGGUAAUAGCGGGUCGACUCCUAGCACAUUCAUUCCUCGUUUUAUUUGAUUUCAAUUUCAGGAAUUUUCAUCUUAUUUAUUUGAAUUUUCCGCUUGCAAUUUCUUGUUCAUAAUUUCCUCAGUUCUUACUCGAAUUCAAAUGAUUUGGAUUUGAAUUCACGUAUACUCCUUCAGAUUUUGUUUAAAAUGAUUUGGAUUGAUCGCUCAUGAUUUCUUGAAUUUUCCCCAAAAUCUAGUAUUUCUCAAAUUUCAAGCGAAUUGUUGUGGGGAUUAGAUUAGUGUUUUCCAGUAUAUUUCAUCUACGUUUCUUGAAUACUUAGCAAUUUCAUGAGUUUGCGAUUUUUGGGUAUCUAGGUUGAAGGUUUUAUUGGUUGUUGAAGGAAAAAAAAAUCUGGGUUUGAUUGGUGUUGCACGCAAGCUAUUCGAUAAAAUGUAAGAGAGAAAUAUUGUUGCUUGGAAUGCCAGAAUUCUGGGUGUUUGACAUUCGUGCAUUUCGUUUACAUACCGGGUUGCUCAUCGUUGAAGUUGAUUCAUCAAAUUCUUGGGUUGGUUCCUCUGUUCUUGGUAAUAAGCAAUUCGGUGUUAGAAAUUUUCUUGGCUCGUGAUUGUUCCUGUUUUGAGUUCGGAUUUCUCUGAUUCUCUGAGUUUGUCUUGCUGGGUAUGAAUCUUGCCAAUCGUAAUUGUAAGUCUUUAUUAUUUCAUUUAGAGUUUGGAGAGGCAUUCUUGAAUGUGAAAUUUGUGUUGUAGUGCUGUUAAUUGCCAUUUAUUGUUGUUAGAAACUUGGAAAUUGGUUAUGUUCUACGUUUGAUGAACAAUGGUGUUUGCCUACUAGGUGAUCCGAUGAAAUUUUUUGUAUAAUUUUCGAUUUCAUUCUCUGUUUGAUUUACACGUUGAAUAUUGGAAGUUUCUUGGAGUUUGUGUUGUAGUUUGGAUGUUGUAUGACCUGAAGUUUCAAUGUCUAUUGUGCUAGAGAUUCAAUAAUAGCAGUGGUGUUGUUAGAAAAUUUAACUGAUUUGAUGCGAAAUUAGUGUUUGGUGGUAGCAGUUAACAACAAUUCAAUUCAUUCUUUCCUUCUUCUAAAACACAUUUCUAUUCUAUAAUUCUUCUACUUGCUUCUCACCACAAAUUUCCUACUGUUUUUCUUGAAAUCAAGUUGUGAUAUCGUCUAGUAUUCUUAGAUUUUUGUUUUGCGCCCAUAGAGUGAGGCAUUUCUCAUGAUCCAUUGUGAUCAUUUUCUUAGACCCAAAGUGGUCCUUUGUUCAAGACCCAUAUGUAACACCCCACAAUUUUUGUACCUAUUUAUAUGCUUAUUAUUUGUAUAUUAAAUAUCUUAUGAAAGUAAAUUAAAUUAUUUCUUUUAUGAAAAUAUUAAUUUUUCUCACUUUGGCUUUAGUUCAAGAGUGGUCAACUAAGUUUUAUAUUUCUAAAAGGGGUUAUCAUAUAAGUAUACACCUCUAAGUUUAGAUGGUAAAAGGAAAACAAAUAGAAAAGAGAGAAAAAAAAAAGGAAAAAGGAGUUUAAAACCAAAAAAAGAAAAAAGAAAAAGAAAAAAAAAAAAGAACAAAGGCUUUACGGGAUUGUAAUUCCCAGCCAAAACAAACAAACAAAACAAAGGUUUCUUUCUUUUCAUUCACUUCAUCUUCUACCCUAUUCAUUCUUCUCCUAUUUCUUGAUUCAAUACCCUAAAUUCACAAACUUUGUUGAACGUUUAUCACACAUCAAUCUUUCUUCCUCUACCUUCAACAAUACUUGAUUUUGUGGGUAUUUCAAAGAGUGAAAAUUUGGGUUUCAAAUUGGACGUUUUUGGGGGCGAAAAUCGGAUUAAAAAAAAAGUGAUUUUCGGGUCUUUUUCUUGAGUAAUUUCAUCUCUCUAUUCAAAUCACGGGUUUAUAGAGGAACCCUUUUGACUUGUAAUUGAGAUUGGUUGAUAGUCGUUUGCUAAUAAGGGCUUGAUGGUGACUAGCUUAUAUUGGGGUGAGAGCGUUGAUUUCACCUAGAUGUAGAUUUAUUAAAGUUAAGACUUCCGCUGCAAUAGUUUAGAAUUAUGGUUUGUUAUAGGAGUGUAUUAAUUAAUUACAUUUCCUUUUAGUUGUAAUAGUUAAUAAUUAAUUUAUGUAUUAGUAGUAGUACCUUUCGCCUUGCUGUUAUUAAAUGUUUAAUAACUGCGGCAUAACAGCUCUUGAAUUGUCCAUGCUUUGUACUAUAAUAUGUUUUCUAAAUAAAGUGGAAAUUCAGGAUUGUUACACCA